rnacentral:rRNA from 1 species
CAGUCGCCGCGGUAAUACGUAGGUGGCAAGCGUUGUCCGGAUUUAUUGGGCGUAAAGCGAGCGCAGGCGGUCAAUUAAGUCUGAUGUGAAAGCCCCCGGCUCAACCGGGGAGGGUCAUUGGAAACUGGUCGACUUGAGUGCAGAAGAGGAGAGUGGAAUUCCAUGUGUAGCGGUGAAAUGCGUAGAUAUAUGGAGGGACACCAGUGGCGAAGGCGACCCUCUGGUCUGUAACUGACGCUGAGGCUCGAAAGCGUGGGUAGCAAACAGGAUUAGAUACCCCCGUAGUCCCUGUCUCUUAUAC